rnacentral:rRNA from 1 species
GAUGAACGCUAGCGGCAGGCUUAACACAUGCAAGUCGAGGGGUAUGGUUCUUCGGAGCCAGAGACCGGCGCACGGGUGCGUGACGCGUAUGCAAUCUGCCUUUUACAGAGGGAUAGCCCAGAGAAAUUUGGAUUAAUACCUCAUAGUAUUACGACUCGGCAUCGAGAUGUAAUUAAAGUCACAACGGUAAAAGAUGAGCA